rnacentral:RNase_P_RNA from 1 species
AAAGUAGGCCGCCUUAUCGCUGGCUCCCGGAUUUUAUUCGGGAACUGGAGGAAAGUCCGGACACCAUAGGGCAGCAUAGUGGGUAAUGCCCACCGGUCGUGAGAUCAGGACAAGUGCAACAGAAAGGAUGUACAGGUAAUGCUGUAGUGAAACCAGGUAAACUCUAUGCGGUGCAAUGCCAUGUAUACCGGCAUUUAAGGGUAGCCCGCCCGUUGUCGGAGGGUAGGCAGCUAAAAAUUUUUGGUGACAAAAAUUUCAGAUAAAUGAUAAGGAAUUUUUGAAAGAACGGGGGAGAAAUUUCCUGUUGUUUUAAGAGGAACAGAAUCCGGAUUACAGGCCUGCUUUUUUA